rnacentral:rRNA from 1 species
GAGUUUGAUCAUGGCUCAGAACGUACGCUGGCGGCACGCCUAAUACAUGCAAGUCGAACGAAGUAAGACAAUACUUAGUGGCAGACGGGUGAGUAACAUGCGGGUAUCUUCCCUUUGGUGAGGAAUAACACGAGGAAACUUGUGCUAAUACCUCAUAAGUCUUUACGGAGAAAGCUUUAUGCGCCAAUGGAUGAGCCCGCACUUGAUUAGUUUGUUGGUGGGGUAAUGGCCUACCAAGACUUUGAUCAAUAGCUGAUUUGAGAGGAUGAUCA